rnacentral:other from 20 species
GUCUCAAUCCCCUUUAUCCAAGCGGGUCUUCAUCUAC